UACGUAGGUGGCGAGCGUUAUCCGGAAUUACUGGGCGUAAAGCGCACGCAGGCGGCCGGUCAAGUCUGACGUGAAAGCUCCUGGCUUAACUGGGAGAGGUCGUUGGAAACUGGCGGGCUUGAGGCAAUGAGAGGGGUGUAGAAUUCCCGGUGUAGUGGUGGAAUGCGUAGAUAUCGGGAGGAAUACCAGUGGCGAAGGCGGCACCCUGGCAUUGACCUGACGCUGAGGUGCAAAAGCGUGGGGAGCGAACGGGAUUAGAUACCCCGGUAGUCCCU
rnacentral:rRNA from 1 species